rnacentral:rRNA from 1 species
GAGUUUGAUCCUGGCUCAGAUUGAACGCUGGCGGCAGGCCUAACACAUGCAAGUCGAACGGUAACAGAAAGCAGCUUGCUGCUUUGCUGACGAGUGGCGGACGGGUGAGUAAUGUCUGGGAAACUGCCUGAUGGAGGGGGAUAACUACUGGAAACGGUAGCUAAUACCGCAUAACGUCGCAAGACCAAAGAGGGGGACCUUCGGGCCUCUUGCCAUCGGAUGUGCCCAGAUGGGAUUAGCUUGUUGGUGGGGUAACGGCUCACCAAGGCGACGAUCUCUAGCUGGUCUGAGAGGAUGACCAGCCACACUGGAACUGAGACACGGUCCAGACUCCUACGGGAGGCAGCAGUGGGGAAUAUUGCACAAUGGGCGCAAGCCUGAUGCAGCCAUGCCGCGUGUAUGAAGAAGGCCUUCGGGUUGUAAAGUACUUUCAGCGGGGAGGAAGGGAGUAAAGUUAAUACCUUUGCUCAUUGACGUUACCCGCAGAAGAAGCACCGGCUAACUCCGUGCCAGCAGCCGCGG